rnacentral:lncRNA from 1 species
UGAUACGAUCCAAGGUGAUCUACUCUGAAGCAAAGAACAAUAGAUGCGGCGAUAUGGUGGAUAGACUGAAACGAUGAAGCGAAAAGGAUGGUGGUAGUGAUACGAGGAUGGCUCGCGACGAUGAGGGAUGAUGGUGGAGACUCGGCAGAUCGAAUCGUGGAUGUGCGAUGGUGGUGUGGCGGAUCGAUGGAGAUGAUGGUGGCUCGGCGGAUCGAUGGUGAUGAUGGUGGCUCGGCGGAUCGAUGGUGAUGAUGGUGGCUCGGCGGAUCGAUGGUGAUGAUGGUGAGAUGAUAAGAUAGAAGAAUCUCUUGUAAACAGAUUAGUUUUUAAGAGAUUCGAAUUUCAGAGUUUUUAGUUCUCAGAAAUCAAAAAGAGAGAAGAACACGUUAAAAGUUUGAUCAAAAUUCUUCACUGAAUAAUACUUAGGCGAUUUUCUCUCUUAAAUAGACUUAGAGAGAAAUCGCAGCCCUAAGAAACAAACUACAUGAAGUCUGAAAUAAAAACAACAAGAAGUGUGAUUUAAAAAUAAAACAGCGAGGCGUCCCUAAAAUCCUAAGUGGUGCGCCAAAAUACUAAGUGUACAAGUCAUUGUGACUUUGCACAUUAUUACCCAUUAGUAACAACUUCUAAGUAACUCGACGUAGCAAUGAUUUCUGCCUCGUUAAAAACCUUGGAGAAGAACCUCCUUGCCUUCCAAAAUCUUCACCAAGGAAAAGAGUACAGAAUCAUCACCUAAGUUACCUAGUCAUUGUUACUGGGUUCUUCAGUCUUCAAGAUAGAGAUGUUGAAGAUGUGAGCUCCAGCCUCCUGGUGAUCGCUGUCCUCUGUGGCAAUGAGUGCGUGAGCCUCCUUAGCCAUCUCUCUAGCUCUGGAACGAGUGAUCCUGCCAGCUACCUCUGGUUCCUCCUCCUCUGAGCUGGUCACGAUCAUAUCAUCCUCUCCCUCUUGAAAAGGAUUUGUCCUCAAAUCUGAAUCUGCAACAUAAGGAAGCAAGUCAGAAACAUUGAAAGCAUCAGAAACGUCAUACUUACCUUGAAGAUCAAUCUGAUAGGCGUUGUUGUUGAUCCUUUUGAGGCAUUAGCUUGUUCUUUCGCUCAGCUGGAAAUCGCUCCUUCCUCAGAUGGAUCCACACCAGAUCUCCUUCUUCGAAAAUCAGCUCCUUUCGUCCUUUGUUGGCAUGCUUCUCAUACUGCUUUGUCUUCUUCUCGAUGUUCUCCUUAGCCUUAGCAUGUAUUCUUCGGACCUGUUCAGCUUUCUCCUUGCCAUUCAAACUGCAUUGUCCACUUAAAGGCAAAGGGAUCAAGUCUAGAGGUGAUUGUGGAUUAAACCCAUAUACAAUUUCAAAAGGAGAAAAGAGAGUAGCAGAAUGCUUAGCGUGAUUGUAAGCAAACUCGACAUGAGGCAGGCACUCUUCCCAUGUCUUGAGGUUACUUUUCACCAAAGUCCUUAGAAGUGUGGACAACGUUCUAUUCACCACCUCGGUCUGUCCAUCGGUCUGAGGAUGACACGUAGUCGAGAAUGAGAGCUUUGUUCCCAGCUUAGCCCAAAGCGUUCGCCAAAAAUGUCCUAAGAACUUCGUGUCUCGAUCUGAAACGAUAACCUGUGGCAUUCCAUGCAGUCGUACUACUUCCCUGAAAAACAAGUUAGCUACAUUCACAGCAUCAUCUGUCUUGUGGCUAGCGAUGAAGUGAGCCAUCUUGCUAAACCUGUCAACAACCACAAAAAUAGAAUCUCUACCAUUUCUGGUUCGAGGUAAGCCAACUACAAAAUCCAUAGCGAUAUUAGUCCAAGGUUGAGAAGGAAUAGGCAAAGGAGUAUACAAACCGUGAGGUUGAACUUUACUCUUAGCCAUCUUACAUACAACACAUCUAGAGCAGAUUUUCUCAACGUCUUUCUUCAUGUUCGGCCAGUAGAAGUGCUCUUGUAGCCCAAGAAGUGUCUUUGUGACACCGAAAUGUCCAGCUAAUCCACCUCCAUGAGCUUCUCGUACCAGUAACUCUCGAAUAGAUCCUCGUGGUAUGCACAAUCGGUUACUGAAGAACAAGUAUCCAUCCUGUCUAUAAAAUUUCUCACAGGCAAACUUAUGACAUUUGGCAUAGCUCUCAGAAAAGUCAGUAUCAGAUUCAUAAAGAUCUAUAAUGUGCUCAAAUCCAAUCAACUUUGACGUUAAGGUAGAAAUAAGAGUGUACCUCCGAGAUAAUGCGUCUGCGACCACAUUAUCUUUACCUUUUUUGUACUUAACAAUGUAGGGGAAUGUCUCAAUGAACUCCAUCCAUCGCCCAUGUCUUUUGUUAAGCUUCUGCUGACCCUUGAGGUGCUUUAGAGACUCGUGAUCGGUAUGAAUGACGAAUUCCUUAGGCCAUAGGUAAUGCUGCCACGUCUGGAGAGCUCGAACCAAUGCGUAUAACUCCUUGUCAUACGUGGGAUAAUUCAGCGUUGAUCCUCCUAAUUUUUCGCUGAAGUAAGCGACGGGCUUCUUAUCCUGCAUAAGAACUGCUCCAAUACCUACACCAGAAGCAUCGCAUUCAAUCUCAAAAGUCUUGGUAAAGUCAGGAAGUACUAAUAAGGGCGAAUUGAUAAGCUUCUCUUUAAGGGCUGUAAAAGCCUGUUCUUGCGCCUCUCCCCACUUGAACCCCACGUCUUUCUUGAUGACUUCGGUUAAGGGCGCGGCUAUAGUGCUGAAAUCACGAACAAAACGCCUGUAGAAUCCUGCUAAGCCAUGGAAACUUCGGACUUCUCCAAUAUUCUUGGGGGUUGGCCACUCCUUGAUAGCUUUUAUCUUCUCUUCAUCUACUUUAACUCCUCCUGCACUUACUACAAAGCCUAAGAAAACAAUUUCGUUAGUGCAGAAUGAACAUUUAGAUAAAUUAGCAAAGAGAGAUUGAGAGCGAAGAACAUCAAGAACCGAUCUGAUGUGAUCUAGAUGUUCUUCCAAACCUUUACUGUAGAUAAGGAUAUCGUCGAAAUACACCACGACGAACACGCCAAUGAAUGGUCUCAGGGCAUGGUUCAUUAAUCUCAUGAAGGUGCUGGGAGCAUUGGUGAGACCAAACGGCAUAACUAGCCACUCGUAGAGUCCUUGCUUUGUCUUGAACGCCGUCUUCCAUUCGUCCCCUUCCUUCAUUCUGAUCUGAUGAUACCCACUCUUCAAAUCUAUCUUCGAGAAGAUUGUCGAUCCACAGAGCUCAUCCAGCAUAUCAUCUAGUCUUGGAAUCGGAUGCCGAUACUUCACAGUGAUGUUGUUGAUAGCUCGGCAGUCUACACACAUCCUCCAGGAACCAUCUUUCUUUGGCACCAACAGAACUGGAACCGCACAUGGACUCAAGCUUUCUCGGAUAUGUCCCUUGCUCAUCAGCUCUUCCACUUGCUUCUGCAGCUCCUUAGUCUCUACAGGAUUGGUUCGGUAUGCUGGCCUGUUAGGUAAGGCUGAUCCUGGUACCAAGUCAAUCUGAUGCUCUAUCCCGUGAAUUGGAGGUAGCCCUGGUGGAAUUUCUACUGGAAAAACGUCCUUGUAUUCCUGCAAAAUCUCAAACAUAGCACUAGGAAGCUCCUGUGAAGGGUUAGUACUAACAAGGGAUUCCUUGUACACAAACAUAAAAGUAGUCAUUUCAGGAUCAAAGAGUUUAGAAAAUUCACUGUGGUUUAUGUAGAGGCUGUUGGCGACUUUCUCCUUCUCCUUGAGCUUCAUUUGAAUUUGAUCUUGAUAAAUCUCGGUAGGCGUGAGAGGUAGGAGGGUAAUUUUGCGACCUUUGAACUCGAAUGAGUGCUUGUUGGUGUAACCGUCGUGUAUCACCCUACGAUCUGAUUGCCACGGUCUGCCUAGCAACACAUGACUCGAACCCAUGGGAAUGACGUCACAUAGAAUCUCAUCUUCAUACUUCCCAAUAGAUAGAGAAACCAUCACUUGCUGAGAUACGGUCAAGGCUCCACUGUCAUUCAACCACUGAAGCUUAUACGGUCUUGGAUGAGGAAUAGUCUUGAGCUGGAGCUUCUUAACCAUCUCUUCGCUUGCAGCAUUAGUACAACUUCCUCCAUCUAUGAUCAGGCUGCAAACUUUUCCUUGAAUGAAGCAUCUCGUAUGGAACAGGUUCUCUCGCUGACAAGUCUCUUCAGGUUGACUCUGAACACUCAAAGUCCUUCUGGCAACCAGCAUCUCGCCCACGGCAGCAGCUUCUUCCUCUUCCUCUAUUUCAUAUUCGGCCUCUGAAUCCUCUUGAGGAACUAUCUCUCCUCCCUCUUGUAACAAGAAAACCUUCUUGUUUGGGCAAUCUCGAGAGUAAUGUCCCAUUCCUUGACAUUUGAAACACCUCACAUUGCUGAUAGAGGUGCCACCUCGAGGCUUGAACUCAGCUUUAGCUUCUUCUUUAACUCCAGUAGAGGGCGGUUUGAUGUCUCUGGAGUAAGCUGGCUUGCUGAUCUCCUUAGGCUUAGGCACACUAGGCGUGAAUGUGGACUUGAAAUUUCGCCUCUUGACUUGAGAUUCCACCAAUUCAGCCUUAUGCACCAUCUCUUGUAUAUCUGUGAAAUCCUGAAGUUCCACCUUGUCUUGAAUUUCUCGGUUAAGUCCUCCAAGAAAUCUCGACAUUACCAUCUCUUCGCCUUCUCGUAAAUCUGCACGAAUGAGCAAAGUUUCCAAUUCUUGAUAAUAAUCUCGAACAGACUUCGUACCUUGGACGAGGCGCCUAAGUUUGUUGAGUAUCUCGCGCUGAUGAUGGGCUGGAACGAACCGCUUUCUCAUCUGUAUAACAAGCUGAUCCCAAGUAGUAAUCGGAAGUUCCCUCAGACGGUUUCUGGUGACUCCCAACUGCUCCCACCAUAGAAGCGCAUAUCCAUGGAAUUCUGAAACUGCAAUUUUCACCUUGUUGAGCUCGUAGGUUCCUUGGACCAGAAAAUUAGACUCCAUCUUCCUUUCCCAAUCUAGAUAAGCUUCGGGAUCAUUAUUUCCAUGGAAAGGAGGAUACUGGAUUUUGAUGUGACGCAGCUGCUGACGUAGAGGAUCAUAAUCUCGACCAUGUCCUCGGCCUCGAUCUCGUCUCACAGUUUCUCUGCUAUGAUCAGAAGCUUCGUCCUCCUCAUAGUAUUCUGGAUCUGAUUCCAGGGUAACUCGAUGCCCAGCAAUAUAUUCCUCUCGUCGGUGCUGACGAUCUACUCUUGGGCCAUCUCGAUCUGCACCAGUAGGAUUCCUCCUCGGAUUAAACGUAGUCUCUCUGCCCCCAAUCUGGCUUCGAUUGGACUUAGCUUUAGUCCUGGCUUCGGAAGGUGUUGGGUGGCGUGGAAGUUUCCGGGAAGAUCCUAUGUGUCCUUUACCCUUAGCUAAGCGCAUUGCUUCCGAUGGAGUUGGAGUUUGAGACGACUCUUCUCCACUUGCACUGAAAUCUUUGAGCAGAUCACUCAUCUUGGUCUCGAACUUGUCGUUGAGUUGUUCGAUUUGUUGGGUGAGCUGAGUUGCUAUAGCUUGAUUCGCUUCUUUGAUUUGUUGAGACAUUGCUCGGUUCAGAGCUUCCAUCGCCUCAGCCGAAAGCUCCAUGGUACCUGAAAAUUUAAAAAAAACAAAAACUCGCAGUAACUUGUUCUAGAAGAAAUCACAAAAACAGCAAAAUUAAACUCAUCAUAAAAAAAAUGAAACGAUCCCCACGAAAUUUAAAAACAAACUUAACGAAACUAAUGAAUUUUAACGAAAUUUUUUUUUUUUUUUUUUUUUUUUUUUUUUUUUGCUAACUUAAAAAAAAAACGAAAAUACAGAAACUCCUAACAAAUCCUAACUAAAACGAGAUCUGCCUAGACGAAAACUAACCACGAAAACUCUAACAGACCUAAGCAAUGACGAAAAACACGAGACUAUGAACAAACCUAAUCGAAGACGAAGACACGAAACUCUUGACAAUCCUAAACGAACACGAAAACAAUGGAUAAACCCUUGACAAACCUAACGAAUUCGAGAUCAACCUAAACCCUAGUCGCGAAACAAUGAAACUCGAACUAACAACAAUUAGGACGAUGAAAGCAGCAAACGACACUAGCUAGCCUAGGUUUUAAAACGAAAAUUCAAGCACAGAGAUUAGGGUUAGAGUUUCGCUCAGCCUUUGGUUCAGAGUUGGCUCUGAUACCACGUGAUACGAUCCAAGGUGAUCUACUCUGAAGCAAAGAACAAUAGAUGCGGCGAUAUGGUGGAUAGACUGAAACGAUGAAGCGAAAAGGAUGGUGGUAGUGAUACGAGGAUGGCUCGCGACGAUGAGGGAUGAUGGUGGAGACUCGGCAGAUCGAAUCGUGGAUGUGCGAUGGUGGUGUGGCGGAUCGAUGGAGAUGAUGGUGGCUCGGCGGAUCGAUGGUGAUGAUGGUGGCUCGGCGGAUCGAUGGUGAUGAUGGUGGCUCGGCGGAUCGAUGGUGAUGAUGGUGAGAUGAUAA